GACGAACUUUGGCGGCGUGCUUAACACAUGCAAGUCGAACGGAAAGGCCCUGCUUUUGUGGGGUGCUCGAGUGGCGAACGGGUGAGUAACACGUGAGUAACCUGCCCUUGACUUUGGGAUAACUUCAGGAAACUGGGGCUAAUACCGGAUAGGAGCUCCUGCUGCAUGGUGGGGGUUGGAAAGUUUCGGCGGUUGGGGAUGGACUCGCGGCUUAUCAGCUUGUUGGUGGGGUAGUGGCUUACCAAGGCUUUGACGGGUAGCCGGCCUGAGAGGGUGACCGGCCACAUUGGGACUGAGAUACGGCCCAGACUCCUACGGGAGGCAGCAGUGGGGAAUAUUGCACAAUGGGCGGAAGCCUGAUGCAGCAACGCCGCGUGCGGGAUGACGGCCUUCGGGUUGUAAACCGCUUUCGCCUGUGACGAAGCGUGAGUGACGGUAAUGGGUAAAGAAGCACCGGCUAACUACGUGCCAGCAGCCGCGGUGAUACGUAGGGUGCGAGCGUUGUCCGGAUUUAUUGGGCGUAAAGGGCUCGUAGGUGGUUGAUCGCGUCGGAAGUGUAAUCUUGGGGCUUAACCCUGAGCGUGCUUUCGAUACGGGUUGACUUGAGGAAGGUAGGGGAGAAUGGAAUUCCUGGUGGAGCGGUGGAAUGCGCAGAUAUCAGGAGGAACACCAGUGGCGAAGGCGGUUCUCUGGGCCUUUCCUGACGCUGAGGAGCGAAAGCGUGGGGAGCGAACAGGCUUAGAUACCCUGGUAGUCCACGCUGUAAACGGUGGGUACUAGGUGUGGGGUCCAUUCCACGGGUUCCGUGCCGUAGCUAACGCUUUAAGUACCCCGCCUGGGGAGUACGGCCGCAAGGCUAAAACUCAAAGGAAUUGACGGGGCCCCGCACAAGCGGCGGAGCAUGCGGAUUAAUUCGAUGCAACGCGUAGAACCUUACCUGGGUUUGACAUGGAUCGGGAGCGCUCAGAGAUGGGUGUGCCUCUUUUGGGGUCGGUUCACAGGUGGUGCAUGGCUGUCGUCAGCUCGUGUCGUGAGAUGUUGGGUUAAGUCCCGCAACGAGCGCAACCCUUGUUCACUGUUGCCAGCACGUUAUGGUGGGGACUCAGUGGAGACCGCCGGGGUCAACUCGGAGGAAGGUGGGGAUGACGUCAAGUCAUCAUGCCCCUUAUGUCCAGGGCUUCACGCAUGCUACAAUGGCUGGUACAGAGAGUGGCGAGCCUGUGAGGGUGAGCGAAUCUCGGAAAGCCGGUCUCAGUUCGGAUUGGGGUCUGCAACUCGACCUCAUGAAGUCGGAGUCGCUAGUAAUCGCAGAACAGCAACGCUGCGGUGAAUACGUUCCCGGGGCU
rnacentral:rRNA from 1 species